ensembl:piRNA 21ur-10887 ncRNA
UUUCUUCUUUGAUUCGUUUUU